GACGUAGGGCGCGAGCGUUGUCCGGAUUUAUUGGGCGUAAAGAGCUCGUAGGCGGCUUGUUGCGUCGACUGUGAAAACCCGCGGCUUAACUGCGGGCUUGCAGUUGAUACGGGCAGGCUAGAGUUCGGUAGGGGAGACUGGAAUUCCUGGUGUAGCGGUGAAAUGCGCAGAUAUCAGGAGGAACACCGAUGGCGAAGGCAGGUCUCUGGGCAUUAACUGACGCUGAGGAGCGAAAGCAUGGGGAGCGAACAGG
rnacentral:rRNA from 1 species